rnacentral:rRNA from 1 species
GUGCCAGCAGCCGCGGUAAUUCCAGCUCCAAUAGCGUAUAUUAAAGUUGUUGCAGUUAAAAAGCUCGUAGUUGGAUCUCGGGUCCAGGCUCGCGGUCCGCCUCGCGGCGGUUACUGCCCGUCCUGACCUACCUCCCGGUGUUCCCUUGGUGCUCUUGACUGAGUGUCUCGGGUGGCCGGAACGUUUACUUUGAAAAAAUUAGAGUGUUCAAAGCAGGCAGCUCGCCUGAAUAAUGGUGCAUGGAAUAAUGGAAUAGGACCUCGGUUCUAUUUUGUUGGCCUUCGGAACUUGAGGUAAUGAUUAAGAGGGACGGACGGGGGCAUCCGUAUUACGGUGUUAGAGGUGAAAUUCUUGGAUCGCCGUAAGACGAACAACUGCGAAAGCAUUUGCCAAGAAUGUUUUCAUUAAUCAAGAACGAAAGUCAGAGGUUCGAAG